CAGAAGACAAAGGCUAUGUUUUUGCUUGAACUUUAAUGAAAUUUAUGGAGAAUCCUCCGCUUACUGUGUCAUACUAGUACUUGUAAUUGGUAACAAAGCAAAUGAGCAAAUGGAGCUAGGGGAAGAUGCACAAAUUGUACUGGUAAGCUUUGGACCUGCGCGUGAGGCACCUGGUGGUGAACAACCUCAUCUUUCAGAAUGGUCACCUGUGGCCCUGUGAGUUGCCUUUGGCCAGGACCGGAUAAUUCAUGAGGAGAGAGUUGGGACCCUGGCAUGACAGUUGCUCGUGAUGUGCUGCUCCUUUCAGCCUGGCAGAGCAGGAGGUGUUACUCCCAGAUGUCCUUCAGCCACAUUCUGACCCUACAGAGGUGAUGGGGUCACAGAGAGCGGUCACGCUCUAGUUAUGGCAAAGGGUCACUUGUUGUUAACAAGUAGUUACCUUGGGUUUUGCCCAGCAUGGUUGCCAUUAUGCUCUGUGCUUAAAAGUCAGAACACCAGAAGCCUGAGCAGCAUUAUCUGUAAGAUGAUAUUGUCAGUCUUUCUGAUCACCCAUGUAUUUUACUCCUCAUAUUGUUUGAUAUUAGUGGAAAAGAGCUGGCUUGUGUUUGCUCCUGCAUCCUUGAACAC
rnacentral:lncRNA from 1 species